rnacentral:lncRNA from 1 species
AGAGAUGAGUGAGAUGAUGGAGUAUACCGAGGUGGAGAGCCGAUCGAGGUGCCGUUCCGUCGAGGUUCAGGUCCGCGGUCCUGUUAUUACAUCAAAAUCAAAAAAUGAAAAAGAUUAACUAAGUUUGUCAACUAUGAGUUACAAGAUUCCUAUCUAUAAGUCCUCUGAAGUUUGAUCUUGAGUCUUGAAUGGUUCUUCAUGCAGACUUUGGAUUUGAACCUUGAAGCUUGCUAGUUGCAGAUACUAGUUCGUUCUUCUUCAGAUUUUCGGAUCAAGACCGGACAUGUAGUGCUUGUGACCUCAACCAUGUCUUGGGCAACCCACAUCUUUCAUCAACUUCUACAUUUGGAUUAACUUCUUGCCUUUCUCCUCUCUUUUUUUCUUUAUUGUGACUAACUUCUAUUGAUCACCUCGGAUUGUUGACUCGCAUUCUUGCCGCGAGCUUCUUUUGUUGCUGACUUGAAUUGUAAUCUGAGAUGUUUUCCCUUUCUCCAGAUGGAUGCCUGACUGCUGAACUUGAAUUAUAUUCACGUGCUCUCCAGGUGGGCUCCUGACUACUGAACUUGAAUGUAUUCCCGUGCUCUCCAGGUGGGCGCCUGACUGCUGAACUUGAAUUGUAUUCCCUUGCUCUCCAGGUGGUGCCUGAUUGCUGAAUUUGAAUGUAUUCCCUUACUCUCCAGGUGGGCGCCUGAUUGCUGAAAUUAAAUGUAUACCCUUGCUUUCCAGGUGGGCGCCUGAUUUCAACAAAAUAGACAAAAACAAAGAAAAAUUUCUGCCCCGGUUUGGUAGCUGGGCACAUAUGUGAGUGUAAACUGAAUCAUGUUACCAAAUAUCAAUAAGAACUUGAAAGCUGAAACUCGAACUGUACUCCCUUGCUCUCUAGGUGGGCGCCUGAUUGCUGAAACUUGAAUUGUAUUCCCUUGCUCUCCAGGUGGGUGUCUGACUACUGAAACUUGAAUUGUAUUUCCUUG